GUCGCAAAAAAAAAAUCUCAAAAAAAUGGCAAAAAAAUCAUUUUAGCAAAAAAGAAAAUACAAAAAAAAAUACUACACACAAACAUACACUGACACACAAAGAACAAAGAAAAACGAAGCAUUUAUCUACCCAUUCGUAGAUAAAUAAUAAAUAAAUGAUCUAAUUCAAUUUUGCUCAACAUUUACUUUUGUUGUGGGCCCCACCACCUCCACUCACAAAUCGAUUCGCUAAUCGUUUGGCUCCACAUCCAGCGAUGUGGGUGACAGCGUGUCCGUGGACUCUGUGCAAGAUCAGAUGCGGAUGCUGUAGGGCGUCGAGGACCACUGCCGCAUGUCGGAAUUCUUAUUCAAGGAUCAAGGAUAUUUUUCGAUCAUAUUUGUGAACUAUUUAAUUGUUGCUUUCUGUGCUCACUUACCUUUUAAGAGACUUACCGAGAAUUUAACCUUUACUUUUCCGUGUUGUACGGCGCAUCCAACGGCGCGUCCUGUAGGCGCGUGCGCCCUCUUUUUGAACCGGACGCCCUCAGGUGGCUACCCGUUUAGGUAUUGCCGGAUCGAUACUGCAUCCACGAUUGCGUGGAUCGCGCCAGCAGCUGGUAGAUUACUUAUUUACCCAUAUCUUUCCAACGUACGAUGUACGAUGCGAUCCCCUCCUCUUAACUCGCCAGGUUGCACACUCCGGUGGCCGCGGACACCUAUAUGCCCAACGUUUCAUAUUAACGCGUGUGCGCUCGAGGCGCACUCCACUCCAGGCGUCUGACCAGCUGACAUCGCGAACUCCCCGCCGGCUCCUCCAUGACAUCGUGGUCCCAUGCGCCUCUCGGACACGAUUCUUGACGGGCAAAGCUGUUUUCUCCGCCUUUCCAGUCCGGUCCAGUCCUUUCCGGUAAUUCCGCCGUAGCUCCUCGUCCUUUCGUGAGGUCCAAGGGAUGUGCUCCUGGCUGGACAGAGGCAGCCACUAGCUGUCCUUCUAUGGGACAUAGCUAAAUGCCGCUGCUGUGUCACUGAGUCGACAAUGUGGCGUCCCGUCUGCUGCAGCAGGGACCAGGCCGAGUCCUAUCCCAGCCAGACAGAUUCGUAUCCCAGCAAGACAGAAGCGCACCCAUUGCACGAUCCGAACCUAACAAGCCAUCGUCAUCCCUCGACCUGGCCAUUGACAACAAGGACUUUGAGUAUGACAGCCAAGGGAAGAGCUACGCGGGCUACUACACUCUAGAUAUAUGUACCUCGUCGUUGUUAGGUUUAAGGAUAUACGCGUCCAUAUAUUUAGAUAGCAGAUACAAUUGUUUUCCACUUGUUUAUUUAUUUAUAAUACGCUAAGCUAUGAUGAAUAAAACCAUUGAAAAAUCA